UACGUAGGUGGCGAGCGUUGUCCGGAUUUAUUGGGUUUAAAGGGUGCGUAGGCGGCUUUGUAAGUCAGUGGUGAAAUACUCCAGCUUAACUGGAGGGGUGCCAUUGAUACUGCGGAGCUUGAGUACAGAUGAGGUAGGCGGAAUUGACGGUGUAGCGGUGAAAUGCGUAGAUAUCAGGAGGAACACCUGCGGUGUAGACGGCUUUCUGGACCAUUGCUGACGCUGAGACACGAAAGCGUGGGUAGCAAACAGG
rnacentral:rRNA from 1 species